rnacentral:rRNA from 1 species
AUUGAACGCUGGCGGCAUGCCUUACACAUGCAAGUCGAACGGUAACAGGUCUUCGGAUGCUGACGAGUGGCGAACGGGUGAGUAAUGCAUCGGAACGUGCCCAGUAGUGGGGGAUAGACCGGCGAAAGCCGGAUUAAUACCGCAUACGACCUGAGGGUGAAAGGGGGGGAUCGCAAGACCUCUCGCUAUUGGAGCGGCCGAUGUCAGAUUAGCUAGUUGGUGGGGUAAAGGCCUACCAAGGCAACGAUCUGUAGUUGGUCUGAGAGGACGACCAGCCACACUGGGACUGAGACACGGCCCAGACUCCUACGGGAGGCAGCAGUGGGGAAUUUUGGACAAUGGGCGCAAGCCUGAUCCAGUAAUGCCGCGUGCAGGAAGAAGGCCUUCGGGUUGUAAACUGCUUUUGUCAGGGAAGAAAUCUUCUGGGUUAAUACCUCGGGAGGAUGACGGUACCUGAAGAAUAAGCACCGGCUAACUACGUGCCAGCAGCCGCGGUAACAC